AAACGAACGCUGGCGGCAUGCUAACACAUGCUAGUCGAACGAAGGCUUCGGCCUUAGUGGCGCACGGGUGCGUAACGCGUGGGAAUCUGCCCUUGGGUUCGGAAUAACAGCGAGAAAUUGCUGCUAAUACCGGAUAAUGUCGUAAGACCAAAGAUUUAUCGCCCAAGGAUGAGCCCGCGUAGGAUUAGCUAGUUGGUGAGGUAAAGGCUCACCAAGGCGACGAUCCUUAGCUGGUCUGAGAGGAUGAUCAGCCACACUGGGACUGAGACACGGCCCAGACUCCUACGGGAGGCAGCAGUGGGGAAUAUUGGACAAUGGGCGAAAGCCUGAUCCAGCAAUGCCGCGUGAGUGAUGAAGGCCUUAGGGUUGUAAAGCUCUUUUACCCGGGAUGAUAAUGACCGUACCGGGAGAAUAAGCUCCAGCUAACUCCGUGCCAGCAACCGCGGAUAAUACAGGAGGGGAGCUAA
rnacentral:rRNA from 1 species